ACUGAAAUAGCUCAGCUGGGAGAGCGUUAGAUUAUAGGUCGAAAAGUCCCUGGUUCUAUCCCGGGUUCCGGAA
rnacentral:tRNA from 1 species